rnacentral:rRNA from 1 species
CACGGCCUAACACAUGCAAGUCGAACGAGGGCUUUGGCCUUAGUGGCUCACGGGUGCGUACCUCGUGGGUAAUCUGCCCUAUCGAUACAGGAUGGACAGGGAAACUAGAGCUAGUUCCGUAUGAUGUCCACAGACCCUCGAUUAAUCGCCGAUGGAUGAGACGCGUGGAUUGCAUGUGGGUGGGGUAAUGGCCUACCUAGGCGACGAUCGGGAUCUGGUCGGAGAGGAUGAUCAGGCGAACUGAGACGGAGAUACCGCCCACACUCCUAGAGAAGGCGGCACUGGGGAUAUAUGGGAGAACGGGCGAGGACCAGAUCCAACAGUGCCACAUGAUUGAUGAACGCCUUAGGGUGGUAGAGCACUGCUACCCGGGAAGAUAAUGACUGUAGCGGGAGAAUAAUCCCCGGCUAACUCCGUGCCAUCAGCCGCGGUAAU